CAGGUGGGAAUGGGAUCUCCAUGGCAAUGGAACGAUGACUUUUCCUGCCUCCUAAGACACGAUGGCUGUGGACCAUACAGGGCAGUCCUGGAAAGGAAAAGGAGCUACUCGGGGAGCCAGGAUGGCGGCGUCUGGUAUCUAAGUUUGAAAGGAGAGUUUGCAGAGGAAAGUCUCUUUUUCUGCCAUGAGGGCUCCCUUUGCUCUCUUCUGCAACAUCCCGUGCG